rnacentral:rRNA from 1 species
CAUGCAAGUCGAACGAGAGAAGAGAAGCUUGCUUUUCUGAUCUAGUGGCGGACGGGUGAGUAACACGUGAGCAAUCUGCCUUUCAGAGGGGGAUACCGAUUGGAAACGAUCGUUAAUACCGCAUAAUAUAAUUGAACCGCAUGAAUUGAUUAUCAAAGAUUUAUCGCUGAAAGAUGAGCUCGCGUCUGAUUAGCUAGUUGGUAAGGUAACGGCUUACCAAGGCGACGAUCAGUAGCCGGACUGAGAGGUUGAUCGGCCACAUUGGGACUGAGACACGGCCCAGACUCCUACGGGAGGCAGCAGUGGGGAAUAUUGCACAAUGGAGGAAACUCUGAUGCAGCGAUGCCGCGUGAGGGAAGAAGGUUUUAGGAUUGUAAACCUCUGUCUUCAGGGACGAAAAAAGACGGUACCUGAGGAGGAAGCUCCGGCUAACUACGUGCCAGCAGCCGCGG